UACGUAGGGGGCUAGCGUUGCUCGGAAUCACUGGGCGUAAAGCGCACGUAGGCGGACUCUUAAGUCGGUGGUGAAAUCCUGGAGCUCAACUCCAGAACUGCCUUCGAUACUGAGAGUCUCGAGUCCGGGAGAGGUGAGUGGAACUGCGAGUGUAGAGGUGAAAUUCGUAGAUAUUCGCAAGAACACCAGUGGCGAAGGCGGCUCACUGGCCCGGUACUGACGCUGAGGUGCGAAAGCGUGGGGAGCAAACAGG
rnacentral:rRNA from 1 species